rnacentral:rRNA from 1 species
GAUGAACGCUGGCGGCGUGCCUAACACAUGCAAGUCGAGCGAUCUUCUUCGGAAGAGAGCGGCGGACGGGUGAGUAACGCGUGGGUAACCUGCCUCAUACACAUGGAUAACAUACCGAAAGGUAUGCUAAUACAAGAUGAUAUAAGAGAUUCGCAUGGAUUUCUUAUCAAAGCUCCGGCGGUAUGAGAUGGACCCGCGUCUGAUUAGCUAGUUGGUAAGGUAACGGCUUACCAAGGCAACGAUCAGUAGCCGACCUGAGAGGGUGAUCGGCCACAUUGGGACUGAGACACGGCCCAGACUCCUACGGGAGGCAGCAGUGGGGAAUAUUGCACAAUGGGGGAAACCCUGGUGCAGCAACGCCGCGUGAGUGAUGACGGCCUUCGGGUUGUAAAGCUCUGUCUUCAGGGACGAUAAUGACGGUACCUGAGGAGGAAGCCACGGCUAACUACGUGCCAGCAGCCGCAGUAAAAC